rnacentral:rRNA from 1 species
AUGGAUUAGUGGCGCACGGGUGAGUAACGCAUAGAUAACAUACCCUUUAGUCUAGGAUAGCCACUGGAAACGGUGAUUAAUACUGGAUACUCCUUACGACGGGAAAGAAUUUCGCUAAAGGAUUGGUCUAUGUCCUAUCAGCUUGUUGGUGAGGUAAUGGCUUACCAAGGCUAUGACGGGUAUCCGGCCUGAGAGGGUGAACGGACACACUGGAACUGAGACACGGUCCAGACUCCUACGGGAGGCAGCAGUAGGGAAUAUUGCUCAAUGGGGGAAACCCUGAAGACAGCAACGCCGCGUGGAGGAUGAAGGUCUUAGGAUUGUAAACUCCUUUUGUUAGAGAAGAUA